AACUAGGAGUUGUUUUCCUAAUACAUAAUAUAUCAAGGAUCGUGCAGUUUAUCUCCACAUUCGCACUUCCAUUCAACAGGAUAGUAUUCCAUUUGUUUAAGAUAAGACUCUGAUGGGUGUAAGGGAACUAAAACUGGUGCGCAUGGAGAGCAACCCAAGCACCUAGUCUUGCAAUCCGGAGGAGUCGACCCUAUCAACAUUCUCCUUUCUUUCAU
rnacentral:misc_RNA from 1 species